GAAAGACGAAAGAAGGAACUGUUACAUUUUGCAUGCAAAGAAAGCCAGAGUGGCUAGAUUACUCCCUUAGGGUAAUGGAGAAAGGAAAAAGAAAUUGAAAAAGGUCAGGUGAACAAAGCAGAAGGAAUGAAGAGGUUUGUGUGAUUCUUAGUGAAAUUGGACCAGUCUAAGCAACCAGACAGAAAAGUGACAACUUAAAAACUUUCUUUAAACAUAUCACUCUGACACCAAUGUGUAAGAUGAAGUGGACAGGAAUGGAACUGUACUGGGAGGCUCUGACAGUUCGGGUGAGAAGAAAUGAAGGGUCCUGUAAGCAGAUGAGCAGAUGAACAGAAGAGCAGAAGAGCAGCACAGCCGAGAAGGAAUGAAUGGCACAGCAGAGAAGGAGAGAAGAGAAGGAGCAUCUGAACGUUGAGAGUUCAACUAGAAAUGGUCAGAGAGGAGACUGAUCAUGGGAUAGCCAAACUCCAGGAGAAGAUUAUGUUCCCACUCCAUCCCCUUUCCAGAUCCCCAAUCCAUCCCUCUGAGAGCCACCUCUACCACUCGAUAAAACCCCUGCAUUUACCAUC
ensembl:lncRNA novel transcript